UACGAAGGGGGCUAGCGUUGCUCGGAAUCGCUGGGCGUAAAGGGUGCGUAGGCGGGUCUUUAAGUCAGGGGUGAAAUCCUGGAGCUCAACUCCAGAACUGCCUUUGAUACUGAGGAUCUUGAGUUCGGGAGAGGUGAGUGGAACUGCGAGUGUAGAGGUGAAAUUCGUAGAUAUUCGCAAGAACACCAGUGGCGAAGGCGGCUCACUGGCCCGAUACUGACGCUGAGGCACGAAAGCGUGGGGAGCAAACAGG
rnacentral:rRNA from 1 species